CGCGCUUUCGUUUUCUGCUGCUGAGGAAAACCGUUGAAAUGUCUAAGAAAAAAAACUAAAGGAAUGGAAGGACAGGCGACGGAAGACAUAUUAAUCGUAAGGGGCAAGAAAAAACUAGGAAAGCUUGUCCAAAAGAGGGAAGAAUGUGUACCGAUAAGUGCUGAAGGGAUUGUGGAAAGUUGACGGAGGAGUGUAAAUUGCAGCUUCUCAGCGGAUUCUACACAGUCCCAUACGAGAAGCAGCAAGUUUGGAUUCUCUCAUACUUGGAGCAGCACAAAGUGAAGUGAAAAAGGCAGCAUUAGGACCAGCCUAAAAGAAAACAAAGUUUUCAAUACACCUUACAACAGGGAGGCCAGAGGCUGACUGUCUGCAAGAAGACAUUCAUACCAGUAUAUCAACUGACAAACAGCCGUCUACAGGUUAUUCAGGAAAAGUUAGGCAUACUUGGACGUCACACAGAGUCAGGACAAGGCCACACCGCAUACAUCUCACUGUGAGAGAGGACAUCAAAGAACAUAUUCUGUCCUUUCCACAACUGUCGAACCAUUAUUCUAGGAAGAGGGGGGAUGCGGACUGAGAGUACCUCAGUCCAGAUCUUAAUCUGCUCCACCUGUGGACAGGCUCUACAAAGAGAAGAACCCUCAGAAAUGAUUAAAUAUUAAAGCAUUA